AUUGAACGCUGGCGGCAGGCUUAAUACAUGCAAGUCGUGGGGCAGCGCAGGUAGCAAUACUAGGCGGCGACCGGCAAACGGGUGCGGAACACGUACACAACCUUCCGAGAAGUGGGGAAUAGCCCAGAGAAAUUUGGAUUAAUACCCCGUAACAUAACGAUGUGGCAUCACAUUGUUAUUAUAGCUUCGGCGCUUCUUGAUGGGUGUGCGGCUGAUUAGAUAGUUGGCGGGGUAACGGCCCACCAAGUCUACGAUCAGUAGCUGAUGUGAGAGCAUGAUCAGCCACACGGGCACUGAGACACGGACCCGACUCCUACGGGAGGCAGCAGUAAGGAAUAUUGGUCAAUGGAUGCAAGUCUGAACCAGCCAUGCCGCGUGAAGGAUUAAGGUCCUCUGGAUUGUAAACUUCUUUUAUCUGGGACGAAAAAAGGCGAUUCUUCGUCACUUGACGGUACCAGAUGAAUAAGCACCGGCUAACUCCGUGCCAGCCGCCGCGGUAAAAC
rnacentral:rRNA from 1 species